AAACCUCUUCUCUCCCGUCUCCAACCCCUCCACCCACCGCGGCGAAUCUGCCCCACCGUGCCCGUCGUCUCCAUCCCUCCACGGCUCCACCUCUUCUCUCCCGUCUCCAUCCCUCCACCCACCGUUGCGAGCUGCCUAUGACCCCCUCCGCGAUUCGCCGCGCCGGCACCCAUCCUCUUUUCUCCCGUCUCCAACCCUCCACCCACCGCCGUAAUCUGCCCAACCGUGCCCCAGCCCCGCCCAACACCGCGAUCUGCCUCGCCGUCUCCUUCCCUCUACCCACCGUGCCUGGCCCCCGCAGCGAUCUGCCCCACCGCGCCCUGCCCCUCCCACCGCCAUGAUCUGCUUCGCCAGUUCUUCCUUCCCCCCACCGCAAUUCGUCGUCCAGGCUCAAGUGACUCUCUCCUUCCCCUGCUGCGGCGAUUUGAAAGCACCCUCAUCGAUUCUAUGACCUUCUCCUCCCCCCUCAUCGAUUCUCUGACCUUUCCCUCCCCGCCGCCAUCAGCCAUGGAAACAAAUUGAAUGCGUUAGUCAACCAUGGAUUCGCCUCGCCGGCACCCACCGCGAAUCGCCACGCCCCUAGAUCCCAAAAUCCUCACCGCCGAUCUGCCCCUCCCACCACAGAAAUCGAUUUGCCACCUCACUUCCCCCAUAUGGACUUUCUUUGUUUCUUAGUCUUUGCCUGUUUCUGGAUCCAACCGUCGAAAAUCAAUUCCAGCUUCCAAUGAAUCCAUCUGCCCCGACUUCCAAUGGU